rnacentral:rRNA from 1 species
GACGUAGGUGGCGAACGUUAUCCGGAAUUAUUGGGCGUAAAGGGUGCGUAGGCGGCAUGAUAAGUUAUUGGCGGGAAAUCGAGGCUCAACCUCGUGGAAACUAAUAAUACUGUUUUGCUUGAGUACAGGAGAAGUUAACGGAACUCCAUGUGGAGCGGUAAAAUGUGUAGAUAUAUGGAAGAACAUCAAUAACGGCGAAGGCAGUUAACUAUUCUGUUACUGACGUUGAGGCACGAAAGCGUGGGGAGCAAAACGG